UUCAUCUGCAGUCGGGCUUUGAUCACCAUCCUCGCUUUCUUUUCUAGUUUGAGUUCUCUGCUCGCAGAUCUCACUGGCGCCAUCUUCACGCUUUUGAUCCUCGUUGCCCUCUCAACCCUGAUUUGCAGUCUAUGGUCACCGAUUCGGGAAACUUGGCGGGAAAGAACGGAAAGCAACAUGCCCUUCAAUUUACCAGAAGAGUUUGAACACCUGCAGAGCACAACAAUUGAAAUUGCAAUGUAGGUGUAGCUUUACAUUCAAGCACAAUAUUAGGAAAGUACAUGUUCCUCGUCCGGGUGGGUGGCUAAAGUGAGGAGAGUGUUAGCAUUAUUGGACACGUAUGUGGGACCGUGCCGCCCGUUACAGCUUCCGCAAAACAGUACACACUAGACACCAUGUUUUCAGCCUAAUAAUAUCAUGAAAGAACAAAGGAUAGACAAUAAGACAAAUUUACCAUCAGUAAUGAUGACAAAUGCCCAAAACUUAUGUGGCUAGCUAGCAAUGAAAGAUGUGUACAGAAAACCAUUUGUGCUAGUGAAAGCUCACCGGAGUUUUGAGUCCCAAAAGACAAGCUAGCUGCAAACAACAAAAUGGUCUCCGGGAAUUCAAGCAACCAAGACCGUCUUCAACAGCUCAAGGCCUUUGACGAAUCCAAAGCUGGUGUCAAAGGGAUCGCUGAUGCCGGCAUUACCAAAAUCCCACCAAUUUUCGUCCGAACUACGGCGGAUUACGCCGGCGAAGAUCAAGUUUCCGGCCAGACAAUCCAAACCCAGUUCAGUAUCCCGGUGGUGGACCUCGCUGAGACUGCUGGCAGGCGUGCGGAGGUGAUCGACGGAGUGCGGCUGGCGGCGGAGAGCGUGGGGUUCUUCCAGGUGGUGAACCAUGGGAUACCCAAGAGAGUGUUGGAGGGGAUGCUGGAGGCGGCGCGUGGGUUUCACGAGCUGCCGAGGGAGGUGAAGGCCGAGUACUAUAGUAGGGAGCUGAUGAGGAAAGUCAAGUUUGGGAGCAACUUUGAUUUGUAUCAGUCCAGAUUUGCUAAUUGGAGGGACAGCUUGUUCUGUGUCAUGGGUCCUGAGCCUCUUGAUCCUCAAGAAUUGCCUCCGGUUUGCAGAGACAUUACAAUGGAGUAUUCCGUUCAAGUUCACAAACUAGGUGUGACAUUGUUUGAGUUGCUAUCUGAGGUGCUUGGGCUAAAACCGGACCACCUUUUUGAACUGGAUUGUGCAAAGGGGCAUCUUCUUCUUAGUCACUACUAUCCACCAUGCCCUGAGCCUGAACUGACUUUGGGCACAACCAAACACUCCGAUCCUGAUUUUCUCACAAUUCUACUUCAAGACAAUAUUGGUGGCCUCCAAGUUCUGUGUGAAAACCAGUGGAUUGAUGUUCCUCCUGUUCCUGGUGCUCUGGUGGUCAACAUUGGAGAUCUCUUGCAGCUUAUAUCCAAUGAUAGAUUCAAAAGUGUAGAGCAUCAAGUGCUUGCCAACCUCGGAGGACCAAGAGUAUCUAUUGCUUGCUUUUUCACCUUGCAUCUUUAUCCAUCAACAAGGUUGUACGGCCCCAUUAACGAAUUGCUGUCAGAAAAUCAUCCCCCUGUAUACAGAGAAACCUCACUUCGAGACUUCAUUGCUUACUACGAUGGAAAAGGGCUUGAUGGGAACUCUGCACUAACACAUUUCAAACAACCAAAUUUGCAAAUUCCCCUCAUAAAUCUCAGUGGCCUCUACGGUGAUCGCCACAAGGAGAUUGUUAAUGAAGUUCGGAUUGCAUCCGAGACAUGGGGUUUCUUCCAAGUAGUCAAUCAUGGAAUUCCAGUGAAUGUGCUUGAAGAUAUGAUGCAAGGAGUAAGGAGGUUUAAUGAGCAAGAUCUUGAGGUGAAGAAACAGUUCUAUAGUCGUGAUCUAAAGAGAAUUGUGAGAUUCGAUAGCAACUAUGAUCUCUACCAGUCCAAAGCAGCCAAUUGGAGGGACACUUUAGCUUUCACCAAGCCUGUAGUGGAUCAUACCCAAGAACUUCCUGAAGUUUGUAGAGAAGCUACACUUGAGUGCACAAACCAUGUCGUCAAGUUGGCAGAUCAACUCUUUGAAUUGCUAUCAGAGGCUCUGGGACUCAAACCAGAUUAUCUAACAAGAGAAAUGGAGUGUGCUAAGUUUUUUACCUGUGUCUGCCACUACUAUCCAGCAUGCCCUGAACCAGAGCUAACUUUGGGAACUAGCAAGCACACAGAUCCAGCGUUCCUCACAAUUCUCCUUCAAGACGAAAUCGGUGGCCUUCAAGUUCUUCAUGACAAUCAGUAGGUUGAUAUUGACCCCAUUUCAGGAGGCUUGAUAAUAAACAUAGGGGAUUUUCUCCAGGCUAUAUCAAAUGACAAGCUCAAGAGUGUUCAACAUAGAGUCCUCACCAACCGUGUCGGUCCACGGAUUUCUGUAGGUUAUUUUUUCAUAGGAGAGACUGCUGCCAAGUCCUAUGGUCCUAUCAAAGAGCUUUUAUCAGAUGAAAACCCUCCUCUCUAUGGUGCAUUCUCCAUAGAAGAGUAUCGUGCCAAGUUCUUUUCUCAAGGGCUUGAUGAGAAGUCUAGAGUACUUGACAAAUUCAGGCGGCUAUGAAGCUAGCUACUUCAACUGGGCUCAAAAGUUUCAAUUUGAGAUGUGUAUCGCUGAAUACCUAUUGCGGUGAAAAUAUUAUAGGGGUGUGAAAUUUAGGCCCAGUUCGGCACAGCUGUGUUGUGGGAAGAAUUGCUUUUGAAUCUGCUACAGGUAGAAUUGAUUUUG